ACAUGAUUUUGGUUUUUUUUUUGAAUACAUGUAUAUAAUAGAGAUUGGCUUUUUAAUAUUUAAUUGAGUAUUAAAAUUCAUUGUUGAGGGGGUACCAACGAAAAACAUGAAUUUUGAGCCACAACGAAUUUAAAUGAUUUUACAAUAUUUUUCUAUAUUAUGAUAUGAUAGUUUGAAUCAUGCUCAAAUUGCAAUAAAAACUUUUUAUAUGCGUAAUGCAAUCGGCAUUUGCACAAUAUCAACUGGC
rnacentral:misc_RNA from 1 species